AUGGCACUGUUCGAAUUCCUGGGGGGAUCCCAGCCCAGAGGUCUCACGUGAGCCAUGUGAGCCCAAUGAUGCCAGCAGGAAUCGCACAGCUGCCCCAUACAGCAGGUAUGAGGGGGAGCUGCUGGGAAGUGGGUCCCUGAUGCUCUGGGGGUGGGCACCUACCAGGGAGGCUGGGACAGUGCUGGGCCUUCUCUUCCAUGGAAGCCUGGGGCUCUGUUGGAGGGGCACUGUGGGGCUUUUUCUGCCAUGGGCCUUUAUGUGGGAGGGGGGAACAUUUUAACCCUUCUCUCUCUGCUGUGCCUCUGUCCUUCCCUUUUGUCCCCCAGCAGCAGCAGGCAUCACCCUCUCCCCUUCUCUCUCGGAUGCAGUGACCCCCAGUGACCAGUUGCAGCAGGAGGAGGAGACAGAUCUGACCACGGAGGAAGCUGCCUGGAAGGUUGUCAUGGAGCAUUUCCAGGGUGGAGGCAAGGGCUCAGGGUGUGGCUGAGCAGAUCCAGUUCCUGCGUGCCAUCCCCCAACUCAAUGUAUUUCACUGCACAGAAGAGUGGGCAGGACUCUCUGGAGCCACCUUACUCCAAAGCAGCCCUGGCAGAGAGGAUUGCAGAGCUGACUUAAGAGCUGCCCUUGGACUCUGCGCUCAGCUCCAUCCUCUUCAGCUCCAUGGUCGCCGUGUGCAACCUCAGG